rnacentral:rRNA from 1 species
GAUGAACGCUGGCGGCGUGCUUAACACAUGCAAGUCGAACGAGAAAUGUAGACGGAAACCUUCGGGCGGAAGCCUUCAUUUCGAGUGGCGGACGGGUGAGUAACGCGUGGGUAACCUGCCUCAUACAGGGGGAUAACAGUUGGAAACGACUGUUAAUACCGCAUAAGACCACAGCAUCGCAUGAUGCGGGGGUAAAAACUCCGGUGGUAUGAGAUGGACCCGCGUUCGAUUAGCCAGUUGGCGGGGUAACGGCCCACCAAAGCGACGAUCGAUAGCCGAUCUGAGAGGAUGACCGGCCACAUUGGGACUGAGACACGGCCCAAACUCCUACGGGAGGCAGCAGUGGGGAAUAUUGCACAAUGGGGGAAACCCUGAUGCAGCGACGCCGCGUGAGUGAAGAAGUACUUCGGUAUGUAAAGCCCUAUCAGCAGGGAAGAAAAUGACGGUACCUGAGUAAGAAGCCCCGGCUAACUACGUG